UGACGGUACCUGACUAAGAAGCACCGGCUAAAUACGUGCCAGCAGCCGCGGUAAUACGUAUGGUGCAAGCGUUAUCCGGAUUUACUGGGUGUAAAGGGAGCGUAGGCGGCAGGGCAAGUCUGAUGUGAAAACCCAGGGCUCAACCUUGGGACUGCAUUGGAAACUGUCUAGCUAGAGUGUCGGAGGGGUAAGCGGAAUUCCUAGUGUAGCGGUGAAAUGCGUAGAUAUUAGGAGGAACACCAGUGGCGAAGGCGGCUUACUGGACGACAACUGACGCUGAGGCUCGAAAGCGUGGGGAGCAAACAGGAUUAGAUACCCUG
rnacentral:rRNA from 1 species